rnacentral:rRNA from 1 species
UACCAGCAGCCCCGAGUGGUCGGGACGAUUAUUGGGCCUAAAGGCAUCCGUAGCCGGUUUUACAAGUCCUCCGUUAAAUCCAGCUAGCCUUAACAGAUGGGCUGCGGAGGAUACUAUAAGACUAGGAGGCAGGAGAGGCAAGCGGUACUCAGUGGGUAGGGGUAAAAUCCGUUGAUCCAUUGAAGACCACCAGUGGCGAAGGCGGCUUGCCAGAAUGCGCUCGACGGUGAGGGAUGAAAGCUGGGGG